rnacentral:rRNA from 1 species
AACGAACGCUGGCGGCAGGCUUAACACAUGCAAGUCGAACGCCCCGCAAGGGGAGUGGCAGACGGGUGAGUAACGCGUGGGAAUCUACCGUACCCUACGGAACAACUCCGGGAAACUGGAGCUAAUACCGUAUACGCCCUACGGGGGAAAGAUUUAUCGGGGUAUGAUGAGCCCGCGUUGGAUUAGCUAGUUGGUGGGGUAAAGGCCUACCAAGGCGACGAUCCAUAUCUGGUCUGAGAGGAUGAUCAGCCACAUUGGGACGGAGACACGGCCCAAACUCCUACGGGAGGCAGGAGUGGGGAAUAUUGGACAAUGGGCGCAAGCCUGAACCAGCCAUGCCGCGUGAGUGAUGAAGGUCUUAGGAUUGUAAAGCUCUUUCAUCGAUGAAGAUAAUGACGGUAGUCGGAGAAGAAGCCCCGGCUAACUUCGUGCCAGCCGCCGCGGUAACAC